rnacentral:rRNA from 1 species
GGCUCCUUGUGGUAAAAUAGGAUAGGGGGUCUGGCCUGCCCAGUGACAGAAGUUAAACGGCCGCAGUAUAUUAACUGUGCAAAGGUAGCGUAAUAAUUUGCCUAUUAAUUGUGGGCUGGUAUGAAUGGCUUGACGAGGGCUAAGCUGUCUCUAUAUAAUUAUAUAGAAAUUAUUUUCUAGGUGAAAAUUCCUAGGUGUGGUUGAGGGACGAUAAGACCCUAUCGAGCUUUAGUGUAGCUUAAGCCCGGUUUGUCAAAUUUGUAUUUUGGUGCUUGGGUGAAUCUUUGGUUGGGGCGAUCAAGAAGUAGAAUGAACCUUUUGUGUAAAUUGUAUACUGUUAGGUGUGGGAUCCUGUGUGUUAUAUGGAUCAUAAGAGUAAGUUACCGUAGGGAUAACAGCGUAAUCCUCUUGGAGAGCUCUUAUUGAGAAGAGGGCUUGCGACCUCGAUGUUGGACUAAGGUAUCCUGAGGGUGUAGCAGCUUUUAAGGGUUAGUCUGUUCGACUAUUAAAACCUUACA